UGGGGAAUCUUCCGCAAUGGACGAAAGUCUGACGGAGCAACGCCGCGUGAGUGAAGAAGGUCUUCGGAUUGUAAAGCUCUGUCGUUUGGGACGAACGUGGGUAAGGUGAAUAAUCUUAUCUAAUGACGGUACCAAAGGAGGAAGCCACGGCUAACUACGUGCCAGCAGCCGCGGUAAUACGUAGGUGGCAAGCGUUGUCCGGAAUUAUUGGGCGUAAAGGGCGUGUAGGUGGGUAAUUAAGUCGUGUGUCUAAGUGCGGAGCUCAACUCCGUAUGGGCGCAGGAAACUGGUUAUCUUGAGUGCAGGAGAGGAAAGUGGAAUUCCCAGUGUAGCGGUGAAAUGCGUAGAUAUUGGGAGGAACACCAGUGGCGAAGGCGACUUUCUGGACUGUGUCUGACACUGAGGCGCGAAAGCUAGGGGAGCGAACGGG
rnacentral:rRNA from 2 species